GCGAGUCUGGCCGAGUGGUUAAGGCGUUGUGUUUAGGUUGGUUCGUUGAGCUGAGAUAACUUGAUCCGCAAUGGGCAUGCCCGCGUAGGUUCGAUCCCUACGGCUCGCA
rfam:Trichoderma gamsii strain T6085 Scaffolds0081.1, whole genome shotgun sequence.